rnacentral:rRNA from 1 species
CAAAGGAAUUGACGGGGGCCCGCACAAGCGGUGGAGCAUGUGGUUAAUUCGACGCAACGCGAAGAACCUUACCAGGGCUUGACAUCCCCUGACCGCGUAUGAAAGUACGUUUUCACCCUCGGGUGACAGGGAGACAGGUGGUGCAUGGUUGUCGUCAGCUCGUGUCGUGAGAUGUUGGGUUAAGUCCCGCAACGAGCGCAACCCCUACGUUUAGUUGCUAACGCGUGAAGGCGAGCACUCUAGACGAACUGCCGUUGACAAAACGGAGGAAGGUGGGGAUGACGUCAAAUCAUCAUGCCCCUUAUGUUCUGGGCUACACACGUGCUACAAUGGCCGGUACAGACGGACGCAAAGCCGCGAGGUGGAGCAAAUCCUAAAAAGCCGGUCUCAGUUCGGAUUGCAGGCUGCAAUUCGCCUGCAUGAAGUCGGAAUCGCUAGUAAUCGCAGGUCAGCAUACUGCGGUGAAUACGUUCCCGGGCCUUGU